rnacentral:rRNA from 1 species
CGGGGGACCUCCAAGUGCCACUUACGCAAGUAGUGGGUUUUUAGUAGUGUAAAUAGCUGUANGAAUAAGAGCUGGGUAAGACCGGUGCCAGCCGCCGCGGUAACACCGGCAGCUCGAGUGGUGACCGCUUUUAUUGGGCCUAAAGCGUUCGUAGCCGGUCCAGUAAGUCUUUGGGCAAAUCUUCUCGCUUAACGAAAAGAAUUCCGAAGAUACUGCUGGACUUGGGGCCGAGAGAGGUUAGAGGUACUCCUGGGGUAGGGGUGAAAUCCUAUAAUCCUGGGGGGACCGCCAGUGGCGAAGGCGUCUAACCAGAGCGGACCCGACGGUGAGGGACGAAAGCCAGGGGCGCGAACGGGAUUAGAUACCCCGGUAGUCCUGGCUGUAAACGCUGCAUGCUAGGUGUUGCAUGCUCUACGGGGGCAUGCAGUGCCGAAGAGAAGUUGAUAAGCGUGCCGCCUGGGAAGUAUUAUCGCAAGGUAGAAACUUAAAGGAAUUGGCGGGGGAGCACCACAAGGGGUGGAGUCUGCGGUUCAAUUGGAUUCAACGCCGGAAAUCUCACCGGAGGCGACGGCAGGAUGAUGGCCAGGUUGAAGAUCUUGCUUGACGAGCCGAGAGGAGGUGCAUGGCCGUCGUCAGCUCGUACCGUGAGGCGUCCUGUUAAGUCAGGCAACGAGCGAGACCCGUGCCCUUAUUUGUCAGCAGAUGCCUUCUGGCAUGCUGGACACAUUAAGGGGACCGCUGCUGAUAAAGCAGAGGAAGGAGCGGGCGACGGUAGGUCAGUAUGCCCCGAAUCUUCCGGGCUACACGCGGACUACAAUGACCAGUACAAAGGGCUUCGACUUCGAAAGGAGAAGGAAAUCCCCAAAACUGGCCCAAGUUCAGAUCGUGGGCUGCAACUUGCCCACGUGAAGCCGGAAUCCCUAGUAAUCGCGUGUCAUUAUCGCGCGGUGAAUAUGUCCCUGCUCCUUGCACACACCGCCCGUCAAACCACCCGAGUGAGGUCGAGGCGAGGCCAUGUCGUCUGGCAUGUCG